GGUUGAGGGCGGAUCAGGUAGGG
rnacentral:rRNA from 1 species